rnacentral:rRNA from 1 species
CCCUUAGAUGUUCUGGGCCGCACGCGCGCUACACUGACGAUGGCAACGAGUUUUUCCUUCGCCGAAAGGUGUGGGUAAUCUUUUGAAACAUCGUCGUGCUGGGGAUAGAUCAUUGCAAUGUUUGAUCUUGAACGAGGAAUUCCUAGUAAGCGCGAGUCAUCAGCUCGCGUUGAUUACGUCCCUGCCCUUUGUACACACCGCCCGUCGCUACUACCGAUUGAAUGGUUUAGUGAGGACUCCUGAUUGGCGCCGCCGCCCCGGCAACGGAGCAGCGGACUGCCGAAAAGUUGUUCAAACUUGAUCAUUUAGAGGAAGUAAAAGUCGUAACA